rnacentral:misc_RNA from 1 species
CUAAUAAGUGUUUCAUGGCACUUUUAAAUCCAUAUCCACCUUGUGUGCAAUGUAGGAGGGGUUUCGAUCUUUGUCUGUUUCCCUCUUGCGGAUAGACAUAACAUCAAUCUUCUCUUUUUUAACUCUUUGUCUGAAAUAUAUGAAUAAACAAUCAAAUA